GGUAGACGUGGGGAGGUUAAAGUCGCCCAGAACUGUGAGAGGUGAGCCGUCCUCAGGAAAGGAGCUUAUCAAGGCAUCAAGCUCAUUGAUGAACUCUCCAAGGGAACCUGGAGGGCGAUAAAUGAUAAGGAUGUUAAGCUUGAAAGGGCUGAUAGAUGGGAGGGUUCCUCAGUGUUUCUAAAGGUGAUAGAUGGGAGGGUUCCUCAGUGUUUCUAAAGGUGAUAGAUGGGAGGGUUCCUCAGUGUUUCUAAAGGUGAUAGAUGGGAGGGUUCCUCAGUGUUUCUGAAGGUGAUAGAUGGGAGGGUUCCUCAGUGUUUCUAAAGGUAAUAGAUGGGAGGGUUCCUCAGUGUUUCUAAAGGUGAUAGAUGGGAGGGUUCCUCAGUGUUUCUAAAGGUGAUAGAUGGGAGGGUUCCUCAGUGUUUCUAAAGGUGAUAGAUGGGAGGGUUCCUCAGUGUUUCUAAAGGUGAUAGAUGGGAGGGUUCCUCAGUGUUUCUAAAGGUGAUAGAUGGGAGCGUUCCUCAGUGUUUCUAAAGGUGAUAGAUGGGAGGGUUCCUCAGUGUUUCUAAAGGUGAUAGAUGGGAGGGUUCCUCAGUGUUUCUAAAGGUGAUAGAUGGGAGGGUUCCUCAGUGUUUCUAAAGGUGAUAUAUGGGAGGGUUCCUCAGUGUUUCUAAAGGUGAUAAAUGGGAGGGUUCCUCAGUGUUUCUAAAGGUGAUAGAUGGGAGGCUUCCUCAGUGUUUCUAAAGGUGAUAAAUGGGAGGGUUCCUCAGUGUUUCUAAAGGUGAUAGAUGGGAGGGUUCCUCAGUGUUUCUAAAGGUGAUAGAUGGGAGGGUUCCUCAGUGUUUCUAAAGGUGAUAGAUGGGAGGGUUCCUCAGUGUUUCUAAAGGUGAUAGAUGGGAGGGUUCCUCAGUGUUUCUAAAGGUGAUAGAUGGGAGGGUUCCUCAGUGUUUCUAAAGGUGAUAGAUGGGAGGGUUCCUCAGUGUUUCUAAAGGUGAUAGAUGGGAGGGUUCCUCAGUGUUUCUAAAGGUGAUAGAUGGGAGGGUUCCUCAGUGUUUCUAAAGGUGAUAGAUGGGAGGGUUCCUCAGUGUUUCUAAAGGUGAUAGAUGGGAGGGUUCCUCAGUGUUUCUAAAGGUGAUAGAUGGGAGGGUUCCUCAGUGUUUCUAAAGGUGAUAGAUGGGAGGGUUCCUCAGUGUUUCUAAAGGUGAUAGAUGGGAGGGUUCCUCAGUGUUUCUAAAUGUGAUAGAUGGGAGGGUUCCUCAGU